GACGAACGCUGGCGGCGUGCUUAACACAUGCAAGUCGAACGGAAAGGCCCUGCUUUUGUGGGGUGCUCGAGUGGCGAACGGGUGAGUAACACGUGAGUAACCUGCCCUUGACUUUGGGAUAACUUCAGGAAACUGGGGCUAAUACCGGAUAGGAGCUCCUGCUGCAUGGUGGGGGUUGGAAAUUUUCGGCGGUUGGGGAUGGACUCGCGGCUUAUCAGCUUGUUGGUGGGGUAGUGGCUUACCAAGGCUUUGACGGGUAGCCGGCCUGAGAGGGUGACCGGCCACAUUGGGACUGAGAUACGGCCCAGACUCCUACGGGAGGCAGCAGUGGGGAAUAUUGCACAAUGGGCGGAAGCCUGAGGCAGCAACGCCGCGUGCGGGAUGACGGCCUUCGGGUUGUAAACCGCUUUCGCCUGUGACGAAGCGUGAGUGACGGUAAUGGGUAAAGAAGCACCGGCUAACUACGUG
rnacentral:rRNA from 1 species